UACGGGGGGGGCAAGCGUUGUUCGGAAUUACUGGGCGUAGAGGGCGCGUAGGCGGCACUGUUAGUCAGGCGUGAAAGUCCUGGGCUCAACCUGGGAACUGCGCUUGAUACGGCAGAGCUAGAGGAUGGAAGAGGGUCGCGGAAUUCCCAGUGUAGAGGUGAAAUUCGUAGAUAUUGGGAAGAACACCGGUGGCGAAGGCGGCGACCUGGUCCAUUACUGACGCUGAGGCGCGACAGCGUGGGGAGCAAACAGG
rnacentral:rRNA from 1 species